CAUAUGUAUCCUCUCGGGGGUAGAGCACUGUUAUGGCUAGGGGGUCAUCGCGACUUGCCAAACCAUUGCAAACUCCGAAUACCGAGAAGGACUGUAUGGGAGACACACGGCGGGUGCUAACGUCCGUCGUGAAAAGGGAAACAACCCAGACCCACAGCUAAGGUCCCAAAUUCAUAGCUAAGUGGAAAACGAUGUGGAAAGGCAUAGACAGCCAGGAGGUUGGCUUAGAAGCAGCCAUCCUUUAAAGAAAGCGUAAUAGCUCACUGGUCGAGUCGGUCUGCGCGGAAGAUUUAACGGGGCUAAGCUAUGAACCGAAGCUUGGGGUGCAUAUUUUUAUAUGCGCGGUAGAGGAGCGUUCCGUAAGCCUGUGAAGGUGAGUUGAGAAGCUUGCUGGAGGUAUCGGAAGUGCGAAUGCUGACAUGAGUAACGAUAAUAUGGGUGAAAAACCCAUACGCCGAAAGCCUAAGGUUUCCUUGCGCAACGUUAAUCGGCGCAGGGUUAGUCGGCCCCUAAGGCGAGGGCGAAAGCCGUAGUCGAUGGGAAGCAGGUUAAUAUUCCUGCACCUCGCGUGAGUGCGAUGGAGGGACGGAGAAGGCUAGGUGUACCGGGCGUUGGUUGUCCCGGGGAAAGGAGGUAGGCUGGGUCCUUAGGAAAAUCCGGGGGUCCUUUUAAAGCCGAGCACCGAGACGAGUCUUUUUUAGAUGAAGUCACUGAUGCCACGCUUCCAGGAAAAGCUUCUAAGCUUCAGCUCACGAAGACCGUACCGUAAACCGACACAGGUAGGUAGGAUGAGAAUUCUCAGGCGCUUGAGAGAACUCGGGUGAAGGAACUAGGCAACAUGGCACCGUAACUUCGGGAGAAGGUGCACCCUUUUUGGUGGCGCGUGCGCGUUAUAGCUGAAGAGGGUCGCAGAAACCAGGCCGCUGCGACUGUUUAUCAAAAACACAGCACUCUGCAAACACGAAAGUGGACGUAUAGGGUGUGACGCCUGCCCGGUGCUGGAAGGUUAAUUGAUGGGGUUAGUUGUAAAAAGCGAAGCUCUUGAUCGAAGCCCCAGUAAACGGCGGCCGUAACUAUAACGGUCCUAAGGUAGCGAAAUUCCUUGUCGGGUAAGUUCCGACCUGCACGAAUGGCGUAACGACAGCGGCGCUGUCUCCACCCGAGACUCAGUGAAAUUGAAAUCGCUGUGAAGAUGCAGCGUUCCCGUGGCAAGACGGAAAGACCCCGUGAACCUUUACUAUAGCUUUACACUGAACGUUGAGUUCGUCUGUGUAGGAUAGGUGGGAGGCUAUGAAACCAUGACGCUAGUUGUGUUGGAGCCAUCCUUGAAAUACCACCCUGUCGUGCUUGACGUUCUAACCUAGUUCCGUUAUCCGGAUCAGGGACAGUGUAUGGUGGGUAGUUUGACUGGGGCGGUCUCCUCCCAAAGAGUAACGGAGGAGCACGAAGGUACGCUCAGCGCGGUCGGACAUCGCGCACUGUGUGCAAAGGCAUAAGCGUGCUUGACUGCGAGAUCGACGGAUCAAGCAGGUACGAAAGUAGGUCUUAGUGAUCCGGUGGUUCUGUAUGGAAGGGCCAUCGCUCAACGGAUAAAAGGUACUCCGGGGAUAACAGGCUGAUACCGCCCAAGAGUUCAUAUCGACGGCGGUGUUUGGCACCUCGAUGUCGGCUCAUCACAUCCUGGGGCUGUAGUCGGUCCCAAGGGUAUGGCUGUUCGCCAUUUAAAGUGGUACGCGAGCUGGGUUCAGAACGUCGUGAGACAGUUCGGUCCCUAUCUGCCAUGGGCGUUGGAGAUUUGAGAGGGGCUGCUCCUAGUACGAGAGGACCGGAGUGGACGAACCUCUGGUGUUCCGGUUGUCACGCCAGUGGCAUUGCCGGGUAGCUAUGUUCGGAAGCGAUAACCGCUGAAAGCAUCUAAGCGGGAAGCGCGCCUCAAGAUGAGAUCUCCCGGGAUGUAAAUCCCCUAAAGGAACCAUGUAGACUACGUGGUGGAUAGGUCAGGUGUGUAAGUGCAGCAAUGCAUUGAGCUAACUGAUACUAAUGAUCCGUGUGGCUUGACCAUAUAACCUUA
rnacentral:rRNA from 1 species